rnacentral:tRNA from 1 species
GGGGAAUUAGCUCAGUCGGUAGAGUGCUCGCUUUGCAUGCGAGAGGUACCGGGAUCGAUACCCGGAUUCUCCA